AUACUUUUGUAGUUCAUAGUGUGAUGAUUGUGUGUUCACACUUGUGUGAGAUGCCCCUCCCUCAAACCUUGUUACCCAUCUGAUA
ensembl:snoRNA